UGGCCGGUACGGCACGGCGGCCGGCCUGGCUGCUGGCCGGGCGGCGGCUGGUGGACGAUCCCCGCUCGGCCUGGCGGACGGUCGGC
rnacentral:tRNA from 1 species